UACAUGGGGUGCAAACGUUGCUCGGAAUUAUUGGGCGUAAAGCGCGCGUAGGCGGUUACUCAAGUCGGAUGUGAAAGCCCUCGGCUUAACUGAGAAAGUGCACCCGAAACUGAGUAGCUAGAGUACUAAAGAGGGUCGCGGAAUUCCCGGUGUAGAGGUGAAAUUCGUAGAUAUCGGGAGGAACGCCGGUGGCGAAGGCGGCGACCUGGGUAGAUACUGACGCUGAGGCGCGAAAGCGUGGGGAGCAAACAGG
rnacentral:rRNA from 1 species